GUGCCAGCAGCCGCGGUAAUACGUAGGUGGCAAGCGUUAUCCGGAAUUAUUGGGCGUAAAGCGCGCGUAGGCGGUUUUUUAAGUCUGAUGUGAGAGCCCACGGCUCAACCGUGGAGGGUCAUUGGAAACUGGAAAACUUGAGUGCAGAAGAGGAAAGUGGAAUUCCAUGUGUAGCGGUGAAAUGCGCAGAGAUAUGGAGGAACACCAGUGGCGAAGGCGACUUUCUGGUCUGUAACUGACGCUGAUGUGCGAAAGCGUGGGGAUCAAACAGGAUUAGAU
rnacentral:rRNA from 1 species